rnacentral:rRNA from 1 species
CGGAACACGUACGCAACCUUCCUUUAACUGGAGAAUAGCCCCUCGAAAGAGGGAUUAAUACUCCGUAACAUAUAGAUGUGGCAUCACAAUUAUAUUAUAGCUCCGGCGGUUAAAGAUGGGCGUGCGCCUGAUUAGAUAGUUGGUAGGGUAACGGCCUACCAAGUCUGCGAUCAGUAACUGGUGUGAGAGCACGACCAGUCACACGGGCACUGAGACACGGGCCCG